CCUUUACGGGAGGCAGCAGUAGGGAAUCUUCCGCAAUGGACGCAAGUCUGACGGAGCAACGCCGCGUGAAGUGAAGAAGGUUUUCGGAUCGUAAAACUCUGUUGUUAGAGAAGAACAAGUGCUAGAGUAACUGUUAGCACCUUGACGGUAUCUAACCAGAAAGCCACGGCUAACUACGUGCCAGCAGCCGCGGUAAUAAGG
rnacentral:rRNA from 1 species